GCGGGUAUGGUUUAGUGGUAAAACGUAUCCUUCCCAAGGAUAAAAUACGGGUUCGAUUCCCGUUACCCGCUCCA
rnacentral:tRNA from 1 species